GGUACGGGUACGGGGAUUAGGGUUCGAUUCCGGAGAGGGAGCCUGAGAAACGGCUACCACAUCCAAGGAAGGCAGCAGGCGCGCAAAUUACCCAAUCCCGACACGGGGAGGUAGUGACAAUAAAUAACAAUACGGGGCUCUUUCGGGUCUCGUAAUUGGAAUGAGUACAAUUUAAAUCCCUUAACGAGGAACAAUUGGAGGGCAAGUCUGGUGCCAGCAGCCGCGGUAAUUCCAGCUCCAAUAGCGUAUAUUAAAGUUGUUGCAGUUAAAAAGCUCGUAGUUGAAUUUCGGGAUUGACACAUCGGUCGUGCCUUAAGGGGUAUGAACUGGUGUAGUCAAUUUCUCACCUUCUGGAGAACCGCGAUGCCCUUAAUUGGGUGUCRCGGGGAACCAGGACCUUUACUUUGAAAAAAUUAGAGUGUUUAAAGCAGGCAUUUUGCUUGAAUACAUUAGCAUGGAAUAAUAAAAUAGGACGGCAUGAUUCUAUUUUGUUGGUUUCUAGGAUCACCGUAAUGAUUAAUAGGGAUAGUUGGGGGCAUUAGUAUUCAAUUGUCAGAGGUGAAAUUCUUGGAUUUAUUGAAGACUAACUACUGCGAAAGCAUUUGCCAAGGAUGUUUUCAUUAAUCAAGAACGAAAGUUAGGGGAUCGAAGACGAUCAGAUACCGUCGUAGUCUUAACCAUAAACUAUGCCGACUAGGAAUCAGACGAUGUUAAUUUUUUAAUGACUCGUUUGGCACCUUACGGGAAACCAANNG
rnacentral:rRNA from 1 species